rnacentral:rRNA from 1 species
GGAUGAAUAUUGGACAAUGGAUGGAAAUCUGAUCCAGCCAUGCCGCGUGCAGGAAGACGGCCCUAUGGGUUGUAAACUGCUUUUGUAUGGGAGCAAUAAGGUCUAUGCGUAGACUGAUGAGAGUACCAUACGAAUAAGCAUCGGCUAACUCCGUGCCAGCAGCCGCGGUAAUACGGGGGAUGCAAGCGUUAUCCGGAUUUAUUGGGUUUAAAGGGUGCGUAGGCGGUUUGAUAAGUCAGCGGUGAAAUAU